GACGAACGCUGGCGGCGUGCUUAACACAUGCAAGUCGAACGGAAAGGCCCUGCUUUUGUGGGGUGCUCGAGUGGCGAACGGGUGAGUAACACGUGAGUAACCUGCACUUGACUUUGGGAUAACUUCAGGAAACUGGGGCUAAUACCGGAUAGGAGCUCCUGCUGCAGGGUGGGGGUUGGAAAGUUUCGGCGGUUGGGGAUGGACUCGCGGCUUAUCAGCUUGUUGGGGGGGUAGUGGCUUACCAAGGCUUUGACGGGUAGCCGGCCUGGGAGGGUGACCGGCCACAUGGGGACUGAGCUACGGCCCAGUCGCCUACGGGAGGCAGCGGUGGGGAAUAUUGCACAAUGGGCGGGAGCCUGAUGCGGAGACGCCGCGUGCGGGAUGACGGCCUUCGGGUUGUAAACCGCUUUCGCCUGUGACGAAGCGUGAGUGACGGUAAUGGGUAAAGAAGCACCGGCUAACUACGUG
rnacentral:rRNA from 1 species